UUCCUACGGGCGGCAGCAGUGGGGAAUAUUGGACAAUGGGCGAAAGCCUGAUCCAGCAAUGCCGCGUGAGUGAUGAAGGCCUUAGGGUUGUAAAGCUCUUUUACCAGGGAUGAUAAUGACAGUACCUGGAGAAUAAGCUCCGGCUAACUCCGUGCCAGCAGCCGCGGUAAUACGGAGGGAGCUAGCGUUGUUCGGAAUUACUGGGCGUAAAGCGCGCGUAGGCGGCUAUUUAAGUCAGGGGUGAAAUCCCGGGGCUCAACCCCGGAACUGCCUUUGAAACUGGAUAGCUAGAAUCCUGGAGAGGCGAGUGGAAUUCCGAGUGUAGAGGUGAAAUUCGUAGAUAUUCGGAAGAACACCAGUGGCGAAGGCGACUCGCUGGACAGGUAUUGACGCUGAGGUGCGAAAGCGUGGGGAGCAAACAGGAUUAGAUACCCGUGUAGUCC
rnacentral:rRNA from 1 species